rnacentral:rRNA from 1 species
UACAGAGGUCCCAAGCGUUGUUCGGAUUCAUUGGGCGUAAAGGGUGCGUAGGUGGCGCUGUAAGUCGGGUGUGAAAUUUCGGAGCUUAACUCCGAAACUGCAUUCGAUACUGCGGUGCUUGAGGACUGGAGAGGAGACUGGAAUUUACGGUGUAGCAGUGAAAUGCGUAGAGAUCGUAAGGAAGACCAGUGGCGAAGGCGGGUCUCUGGACAGUUCCUGACACUGAGGCACGAAGGCCAGGGGAGCAAACGGG